CAUACCCUGCAGUAGAUGGGAAAGGCCACGGAGGACACGUUCUGUCUCAGCUUGACACAUCUUUGGAAAUGAUCCCUUGGGGGGUCCAGCAUAUUCUAUGAAGGAGUGAAAAAGGUCUUUGUUUUCAUACUUCACCUAAAAAGAUAAAAACGAGAGAGCCUAUGAAAAGAAGCCUUGCUUCCUGGAGGCAUGUAGGAAGAAAAUGGUGCCUUGCCUUCCCACCACAUGGCCUUGUUUUACAACUCUCCACGGUGGGCUUUGAAGCCCAGGGCUGGUCAGUGGGCAGCUCCUAAGGGAAGUGUCAGAGCAGAGCUGUGGCAGCCUGGCUGCUUUGGGUCAACUACCACCCCAACCACCCCAACGUCCAUGUCUCCAAGUGGCCCCCAGAAUUUGUAUUCAUGGAUGGAAUUCUAGUCCAGGAGGG